rnacentral:rRNA from 2 species
GAAUGCUGACAUAAGUAACGAUAAAGCGGGUGAAAAGCCCGCUCGCCGGAAGACCAAGGGUUCCUGUCCAACGUUAAUCGGGGCAGGGUGAGUCGACCCCUAAGGCGAGGCCGAAAGGCGUAGUCGAUGGGAAACAGGUUAAUAUUCCUGUACUUGGUGUUACUGCGAAGGGGGGACGGAGAAGGCUAUGUUAGCCGGGCGACGGUUGUCCCGGUUUAAGCAUGUAGGCUGAUUGUCCAGGCAAAUCCGGAUAAUCAAGGCUGAGGUGUGAUGACGAGGCACUACGGUGCUGAAGUAACAAAUGCCCUGCUUCCAGGAAAAGCCUCUAAGCAUCAGGUAACAUCAAAUCGUACCCCAAACCGACACAGGUGGUCAGGUAGAGAAUACCAAGGCGCUUGAGAGAACUCGGGUGAAGGAACUAGGCAAAAUGGUGCCGUAACUUCGGGAGAAGG